CAGGCGAGGCAGCCAUCGCCUAAGACACCUAAGAGGAAAGGAAGAAGUAGGACUGCUGACUUUCUCCUGCCCUCCAAAGCUGAGCCAGUGUCUGCUCUUGGGAGAGCAGGUCAAAAGCCAUUUGACAAAGGGACCUAAGAAACAUAACAUGCAAGGAUUCUCUCCCUUCGCCCUCCUACCCCCAGAAGAGCAGAGGAGGGUAAGAAAUGGAUGUGAGAGCAGAGUUAAAUGAUGGGCGAAGUCCACUAGAAUAAAAGAAACGGGAGGACUGGAGGUGCACAUCUGGUUCCUGCUUUAUCCCCAGCCUGACACCUGAAAAACACUGUACCACAUAGAGGAAGUAUUCAACAAAGAGUUGUGAAAUCAAUUUUAGCUAACUGAACCUCCUAUUUCUCAUUUACCAAAUUCUCUGCUAUAAUUAAUAUACUGUGUAUCUGUGAAACUCUAUCACAGGAUACGAUUCAAAAGCGAGAGGCCUUAUUAUGGGUUUUGUUCCUUGAUUUAGUGCUAGCACUUAGAACAUGCUUGGCCCGUAGUACGUGCUCUAGAUAUAUUUGCUAGACCGAUGGAUCAAAGUUUUGUAGAGUGGAGAAGGCUACCUUAUCAUCUUGACUGGAGUGUGGUACAUCAAAAUAAAUGUAUCAUGAAACUGUUAGGCUGGGUGUCAGAAUUCCUCAAGGCCAGAUUUGCAGAAGAGAUUCACGUAAAGAACGUGUGGAAAUAUACUUGCAAGGUGGAGUCAUUUUAGUGUACUCAGACUCGAAGGCAAGAGGGUAGACUAAUUCUCCCCAUUCCCCCAAAUGACCUUUCAUGUUCUCCUUCAGCCUUUACUUCCAUAAAACGUGUAAUUGCCCUUUCUGGCAGUUCAUAGAAAAGUGCUUUUCCCAGCCCUUGUAGGUUGCCCUGGAUGGAAAAUGCCCUGGGUUCUCACAGACUUAACACCCGGCCUUGUGAACAUGAGCAAGAUUAUUCUCUCCGAGCAGCUCUUUUCACAUGUGAUACGCUUGGCAGGCUGCCCUGGUAAGUGUCAAGCCCUGAAUGUUUUUGUUUUUGCCCUGGUGGUCCUGAGGAGUUACUGGAAUACUUCUGGGGAUCUGUUUUGUAUCAAACUGUGGGCCGAUAGUGACAUUGAGAAGAAGCAGGUAGAGACAGAGAGAGGGCUCUGGACUACAUCGCAUUUAAUUCUGAUAGCAGACUCCCUGUCUGCCCUGGCUGCCUCAAAGCUUCCUUCGGUCUUUCUUUGGCUCCUUCACUUUGUGCUUCUCAGUGUUACAGGGCAAUCUUUUGUGUGCAUGUGUUCCCCUUUUGCUCCCCAGAGAGGCUUGUCAAAACUCCUUAUCUGCUGAUGAAUGAAAGGAAUUUCUCCUGUGCGGGCGGGACCUGGUUAAUGCAGCUCUGGCCAGCACGGGUAGGUCACUGAGUUAAGGGAGCACCGAAAGGCAAAAUGCGCUGAAAAUAUCAGAGUAGCUGUUGUGCCAGGAAGCUCCAUCAGCAGGCAUUUUCCUCCAAGCAGAGGGAGGGACAGGAAGAAGAGGCCUUGCAGCUUCCUCUUACUUUGCCUCAUGACCCCUAAACUCAAUUUCUGAAUGAGGAAAACUACUCACAGAAGUAUAUCCUGGAAGCAGAUCGUUUGCUUUAAAAGUCGGGAAGAAGCAGAUGAUCUGAGGAACACUGUCUUCCACAUGAGGCUUCAUGAGUGGUUUCCAGCACUCCCCUGUGGACAUGCGAUAUGCGGUCUAGCAAAGAGAGAGAGAAAGCGAAUGGGGGAAAGGACCAGAGGGAGAGAGAGAAUCUCAAGCACAAUCAGUACAGAGCCCAACAGGUGGCUUGAUCUCAUCACCCUGGGAUCAUGACCUGAGCCAGAGUCAAGAGUCGGACGCUCAACCAGCUGAACCACCCAGAUGAGGAAACUGAACUCCAGAGAGUUUAAGCAACGUCCUGAAAGCUGCUAGAUAAUAAAGGUGGAGCCGGAUCUGGACCCCGGGAGAUUCACCUCCUCCCAAUAUGCCUUGCUUCCUGUUCACACAGCCACAUUGUUGGAAGAGAAUUCCCAUAAUUCUACACAUCUGGUCAUAUGAGUCAUUAGAUCAAAUCAUAUAAUAGCAUGGAGAAUUUCCGAAAAUGUUCCAUGAGGCUGAUUUACAAGAUAAGCUGUUGGAGGAAAUUAAAUCCACACCUCCCAGGACUUUGGAUUUUAUUUGUUUCCGGAGUUGGGAACACAGCUGCCGGUCAUGAGUGAAUAUCUGCCCCGAUUUGUCUCCAAGAAGGGUAAGAUGAAAGUUAAUGGAAGCCCCACAAUUUCUGACUUCUGUAUCUGUGAUGAAAGCACCAUACGUUGUCUCCGAGGUGUGUUUAUUUCUUUUCUUCGAAACCUGGUUUCAACUCCUGAAGAAGUUCAGCAUCACUGUUGACUUAGUGACAUGACACAAUCUAUUGUCACUAUAUGAUGAUUUCCAAAUUGGAUCCACGAUGUGAGUUUGAAUCACAGAAUUGAGGCCAAGUGGGAUGAAGAGAGAUGCGACUGUGGCAGUAACGGAAGUCAUGAUGUUUAUCUCUCCAGUACACUUAGCAACUUAUUUAACUUCAAAAUAUUUUUGUUUUAUGUCAGGUUUUUGCUUGUUUGUUUCUCUGGAUGUGAAUCAGAGAAGAUACUGGGUGUGAGAGCUUCAGGGAUGGCUAAAGAAGGAUGCAAAUAAAACUUACUUCCAAAGAGAAUAGUAAAAAAAUAAAAUAAAAUAAACACAUUUGCAUUAA